rnacentral:rRNA from 1 species
UACGUAGGGUGCGAGCGUUAAUCGGAAUUACUGGGCGUAAAGCGUGCGCAGGCGGUUUUGUAAGCCAGGUGUGAAAUCCCCGGGCUCAACCUGGGAACUGCAUUUGUGACUGCAUGGCUAGAGUACGGUAGAGGGGGAUGGAAUUCCGCGUGUAGCAGUGAAAUGCGUAGAUAUGCGGAGGAACACCGAUGGCGAAGGCAAUCCCCUGGACCUGUACUGACGCUCAUGCACGAAAGCGUGGGGAGCAAACAGG